AACGAACGCUGGCGGCGUGCUUAACACAUGCAAGUCGAACGCGAAAGUCCCUUCGGGGGCGAGUAGAGUGGCGCACGGGUGAGUAACGCGUAGGAACGUACCUAAGGGUGGGGAAUAACCACGGGAAACCGUGGCUAAUACCGCAUAAUAUCGCAAGAUCAAAGGAGGCCUCUACUUGUAAGCUUCCGCCGUUAGAGCGGCCUACGUCCUAUUAGCUAGUUGGUAGGGUAAAAGCCUACCAAGGCGAUGAUGGGUAACUGGUCUGAGAGGAUGAUCAGUCACACUGGAACUGAGACACGGUCCAGACUCCUACGGGAGGCAGCAGUGGGGAAUCUUGCACAAUGGGCGAAAGCCUGAUGCAGCGACGCCGCGUGGGUGAAGAAGGUUUUCGGAUUGUAAAGCCCUUUCGGCUGGGAAGAAGGGCGAAAGUGGUUAAUACCCACCUCGUCUGACGGUACCAGAAUAAGAAGCACCGGCUAAUUCCGUGCCAGCAGCCGCGGUAAUACGGAAGGUGCAAGCGUUGUUAC
rnacentral:rRNA from 1 species